rnacentral:sRNA from 1 species
GUUGCUUCCCUACGACAGGUGGCGACCUCAGGCUCUCUCUCUCUCGCCGACGAAUUCAAAUAAUUACGAUGUCCCCUUCGCGCCUCUGGCGCGA